CCAGGGUGCCCUCCCCUGCAGGCCCCAGUGGAAGGUAGGCAUGCACAGCCAGGGUGCCCUCCCCUGCCGGCCCCAGUGGAAGGUAGGCAUGCACAGCCAUGGUGCCCCCCCCUGCAGGCCCCAGUGGAAGGUAUGCAUGCACAGCCAGGGUGCCCUCCCCUGCCGGCCCCAGUGGAAGGUAGGCAUGCACAGCCACGGUGCCCUCCCCUGCAGGCCCCAGUGGAAGGUAGGCAUGCACAGCCAGGGUGCCCUCCCCUGCAGGCCCCAGUGGAAGGUAGGCAUGCACAGCCAGGGUGCCCUCCCCUGCAGGCCCCAGUGGAAGGUAGGCAUGCACAGCCAGGGUGCCCUCCCCUGCAGGCCCCAGUGGAAGGUAGGCAUGCACAGCCAGG